GACGAACGCUGGCGGCGUGCCUAAUACAUGCAAGUCGAACGAGAGCGACCGGUGCUUGCACUGGUCAAUCUAGUGGCGAACGGGUGAGUAACACGUGGGUAACCUGCCCAUCAGAGGGGGAUAACAUCCGGAAACGGAUGCUAAAACCGCAUAGGCCUUCGAGCCGCAUGGCUUGAAGAGGAAAAGAGGCGCAAGCUUCUGCUGAUGGAUGGACCCGCGGUGCAUUAGCUAGUUGGUGAGGUAACGGCUCACCAAGGCCGUGAUGCAUAGCCGACCUGAGAGGGUGAUCGGCCACAUUGGGACUGAGACACGGCCCAAACUCCUACGGGAGGCAGCAGUAGGGAAUCUUCCGCAAUGGACGCAAGUCUGACGGAGCAACGCCGCGUGAGUGAAGAAGGUUUUCGGAUCGUAAAACUCUGUUGUUAGAGAAGAACAAGUGCUAGAGUAACUGUUAGCGCCUUGACGGUAUCUAACCAGAAAGCCACGGCUAACUACGUG
rnacentral:rRNA from 1 species